AGAUUAAGUUAUUAAGGGCGCACGAUGGAUGCCUUGGCACUAGAAGCCGAUGAAGGACGUUACUAACGACGAUAUGCUUUGGGGAGCUGUAAGUAAGCUGUGAUCCAGAGAUUUCCGAAUGGGGGAACCCAGCACGAGUUAUGUCGUGUUAUCCGCAUGUGAAUACAUAGCAUGUGAGAAGGUAGACCCGGAGAACUGAAACAUCUUAGUACCCGGAGGAAGAGAAAGAAAAAUCGAUUCCCUGAGUAGCGGCGAGCGAAACGGGAAGAGCCC
rnacentral:rRNA from 1 species